AACGAACGCUGGCGGCAUGCCUAACACAUGCAAGUCGAACGAGACCUUCGGGUCUAGUGGCGCACGGGUGCGUAACGCGUGGUAACCUGCCCUUAGGUUCGGAAUAACUCCCCGAAAGGGGUGCUAAUACCGGAUAAUAUCUCCGGACCAAAGAUUUAUCGCCGUUGGAUGGGCCCGCGUUGGAUUAGCUAGUUGGUAGGGUAAAAGCCUACCAAGGCGACGAUCCAUAGCUGGUCUGAGAGGAUGAUCAGCCACACUGGGACUGAGACACGGCCCAGACUCCUACGGGAGGCAGCAGUGGGGAAUAUUGGAAAAUGGGCGAAAGCCUGAUCCAGCAAUGCCGCGUGAGUGAUGAAGGCCUUAGGGUUGUAAAGCUCUUUUACCCGGGAUGAUAAUGACAGUACCGGGAGAAUAAGCUCCGGCUAACUCCGUG
rnacentral:rRNA from 1 species